AGCUUUGUGCAGUGGCAGUAUCUUAGCCAAUGAGGUUUAUCCGAGGAGCAAUUAUUGCUAAUUGAAACCCUACCUCAAACCACUCUUGUUCAAAUCUACUAUGAUAGACAGAAAUGGAUCCUGUGUAGCUAA
rnacentral:snRNA from 1 species